rnacentral:rRNA from 1 species
UCAAGCUAAAAAGAGCGUAAGGUGAAUGCCUUGGCAUUAGGAGCCGAUGAAGGACGUGGUUAGCUGCGAUAAGCUAUGGGGAGCCGCAAGCAGGCAUCGAUCCAUAGAUUUCCGAAUGGGGAAACCCAGCCAGAGUAAUGUCUGGUUACCCAUACAUGAAUACAUAGUGUAUGGGAGGGAACCCGGUGAACUGAAACAUCUAAGUAACCGGAGGAAAAGAAAAUAACGAAUGAUUCCGUCAGUAGCGGCGAGCGAACGCGGACAAGCCCAAACCAAGAGUCUUCGGACUUUUGGGGUUGCGGGCCGGCAACAUCCAUUCACAAAGGUUAGUCGAAUAGAGUUGGAAAGCUCUGCCAAAGAGGGUAAUAGCCCCGUAGACGAAAACUGGAGUGAGGUAGCCGGUACCAGAGUACCACGGGACACGAGUAAUCCUGUGGGAAGCUGGGGGGCCCACCCCCCAAGGCUAAAUACUACCUAAUGACCGAUAGUGAACCAGUACCGUGAGGGAAAGGUGAAAAGUACCCCGGGAGGGGAGUGAAAAAGAACCUGAAACCUUACGCUUACAAACAGAAGGAGCGGCCUUAGCUGCCGUGACUUCGUACUUUUUGUAUAACGGACCGGCGAGUUACUAUGCGUAGCAAGGUUAAGGCAUUAAGUGCCGCAGCCGAAGCGAAAGCGAGUCUUAAUAGGGCGAAUUAGUUGCGUGGAGUAGACCCGAAACCAAGCGACCUAUCCAUGUGCAGGUUGAAGCGGUAGUAAAAUACCGUGGAGGACCGAACCCACUAAUGUUGAAAAAUUAGGGGAUGACGUGUGGAUAGCGGAGAAAUUCCAAUCGAGCUUGGAGAUAGCUGGUUCUCCUCGAAAUAGCUUUAGGGCUAGCGUCGUGGUAGAGAUAUAUGGGGGUAGAGCACUGAAUGGGAUAGGGGGCCACAAAGCUUACCGAACCUUAUCAAACUCCGAAUACCAUAUAUUAUACACGGCAGUCAGACUGUGAGAGAUAAGUCACAUAGUCGAAAGGGAAACAGCCCAGAACGCCGUCUAAGGUCCCAAAGUUACAGUUAAGUGGAAAAGGAUGUGUAAUUGCACAGACAACCAGGAUGUUGGCUUAGAAGCAGCCACUCAUUCAAAGAGUGCGUAACAGCUCACUGGUCUAGUGAUUAUGCGCCGAAAAUGUCCGGGGCUAAAACUGUACACCGAAGACGCGUCUUAAUGCAUUUAUUUGUGUUAGGGGUAGAGGAGCAUCGUGUGCUAGGCUGAAGCCAGACCGUAAGGAAUGGUGGACGAAACACGAGAGAGAAUGCCGGUAUGAGUAGCGAGAAUGAAGUGAGAAUCUUUAUCGUCGAAAGCCCAAGGUUUCCUGGGGAAGGCUCGUCCUCCCAGGGUAAGUCGGGACCUAAGCCGAGAGCGAAUGCUGUAGGCGAUGGACAACUGGUUGAGAUUCCAGUACCACCAAUAAUUGUUUGACAGAUGCAGUGACACAGAAGGAUAGACGAAGCGCGUUGAUGGUAGAGCGCGUCCAAGCACUGAGGCAGACGGCAUAGUGAAGUACGUGCUGUUAAUGCUGGGGUGUGAUGGGGACAGAAAAUAAGUAUGGAAGUCGUUGAAUUCACGCUGGCGAGAAAAGCUGCUAUGGAGAUUAGAGGUGCCCGUACCGCAAACCGACACAGGUAGGCGGGGUGAGAAACCUAAGACGAUCGGGAUAACCCUUGUUAAGGAACUCGGCAAAAUGACCCCGUAACUUCGGGAGAAGGGGAGCCGGGCACUGGAUUAUGAAGUCUUGUAGAACCCAGAACACAACAAAACUAGCAAAACUGAGUGUUUAGGGUAAAAAAGCGAAUAAUGUCAGAAAUAUGAGAAGUCAUAAUCUAGUGCCCGGCCGCAGUGAAUAGGCUCAAGCGACUGUUUAGCAAAAACACAGGUCUGUGCGAAAUCGUAAGAUGACGUAUACGGGCUGACGCCUGCCCAGUGCCGGAAGGUUAAGGGGAAGUGUUAGGGGUUGUACCCAAAGCACGGAACUUAAGCCCCGGUGAACGGCGGCCGUAACUAUAACGGUCCUAAGGUAGCGAAAUUCCUUGUCAGGUAAGUUCUGACCCGCACGAAUGGCGUAACGACUUGAGCACUGUCUCAACAAGGGACCCGGCGAAAUUGUAGUACCAGUGAAGAUGCUGGUUACCCGCGAUAGGACGGAAAGACCCCGUAGAGCUUUACUGUAGCUUGGCAUUGAAUUUUGGUAUUAGAUGUACAGGAUAGGUGGGAGACUUGGAAACUAGGACGUCAGUCUUGGUGGAGUCAUCCUUGGGAUACCACCCUUCUAAUACUAGGGUUCUAACGACGUGCGGUGAUCCCGGCGUCGGACAUUGCCAGGUGGGCAGUUUGACUGGGGCGGUCGCCUCCCAAAGAGUAACGGAGGCGCCCAAUGGUUCCCUCAGAAUGGUUGGAAAUCAUUCAUUAGAGUGCAAAAGCAAAAGGGAGCUUGACUGCGAGAGAGACAUCUCGAGCAGGUACGAAAGUAGGGUUUAGUGAUCCGGCGGUAUGAGAGUGGAAUUGCCGUCGCUCAACGGAUAAAAGCUACCUCGGGGAUAACAGGCUUAUCUCCCCCAAGAGUUCACAUCGACGGGGAGGUUUGGCACCUCGACGUCGGCUCGUCGCAUCCUGGAGCUUGAAGACGGUUCCAAGGGUUGGGCUGUUCGCCCAUUAAAGCGG